GGGACAGGGGCAAUUCUGUCUUUUUUUGUCUAUAAAUUAGUUUGUGUUUAUAUACUGCUAUGGCUAGUGAAACUUCUGUAUAGCUUCCUGAGUCUGUAUGGAAGGAGACUUACAGCAAACUACAAUGUCAAAGGGAGAUGGAUAGGUAGUUUCUUGCAACAUUUAUCUAAAUUUCUUUUGGCCUCAACCUUAGAAAGACACAUCAGCUUUUGGAAUUAGAGGAUGAGGAUGAUGCAUCAAUUUAGUAACGCAAAUUGAUGAUUGUACACGAGAAAAAAAAAAGUUUUUUCGGUGCUCGUAUGUGGAAAUGACCAGUGUAACAAAUGCAAUGCAGCCAAAGUAAUUAUUUAGCUCAUUUAAUGAGAUGCCAUUGCUGUUCUUACAAUUGCCGGAGGAGUGGUAAAAUGUGAAAGUUUAUAAGGGAAAAAAAAGCUGCACUAUUCCAUAUAAAUUCAUAUUUGAGGUUUGAAUUCUAAUUGUCUGAGUGGGUAGACGGAUUUAUGGGGGAGUAUGAGGAAAGAUUGUUUUGUUGUGAUGCACUUCAUAUGAGGGUAAUUUGCUUGGAUUAGGUGAUAGAACUAAGCUGGAAUUGUAAAGAGGAAAUGGGUUCAGAAGGUCGAGAGAUAAUAAUUGUUGAUUCUACUUGUAUCAGAUAUAGUUAUUGAAGACAAACAUAUGAAAUAAAAAAGAAAGCAUUAGGGAAAGAAGGUUAAAGUGGUUAGAAGAAGGUUCAAGUAAAGUUCGUGGUUUUGUGUCAGAUUUUCUCUAUGUUUGUGAUCUAUAAACUAUUUUAAAUUUUCUACUUUAGUAUUGUACUUUCAAUUCUAUCUUAUUCAAAACUUAUAUUUUGAAGAUUCCUCCUAAUUAUAGUUUUGAACAUUUGCUUUGUA